GACGAACGCUGGCGGCGUGCCUAAUACAUGCAAGUAGAACGCUGAAGGAGGAGCUUGCUCUUCUGGAUGAGUUGCGAACGGGUGAGUAACGCGUAGGUAACCUGCCUGGUAGCGGGGGAUAACUAUUGGAAACGAUAGCUAAUACCGCAUAAGAGUAGAUGUUGCAUGACAUUUACUUAAAAGGUGCAAUUGCAUCACUACCAGAUGGACCUGCGUUGUAUUAGCUAGUUGGUGGGGUAACGGCUUACCAAGGCGACGAUACAUAGCCGACCUGAGAGGGUGAUCGGCCACUCUGGGACUGAGACACGGCCCAGACUCCUACGGGAGGCAGCAGUAGGGAAUCUUCGGCAAUGGACGGAAGUCUGACCGAGCAACGCCGCGUGAGUGAAGAAGGUUUUCGGAUCGUAAAGCUCUGUUGUAAGAGAAGAACGAGUGUGAGAGUGGAAAGUUCACACUGUGACGGUAUCUUACCAGAAAGGGACGGCUAACUACGUG
rnacentral:rRNA from 1 species